rnacentral:rRNA from 1 species
GACAGAGGGUGCAAGCGUUGUUCGGAAUUAUUGGGCGUAAAGGGCGCGUAGGUUGCUUACUAAGUCAACGAUUAAAGACUGGAGCUCAACUCCAGGGGUGUUGUUGAUACUGGUAGGCUUGAGCAAGGGAGAGGAAAGUAGAAUUUCUAGUGGAGAGGUAAAAUUUGUAGAUAUUAGAAGGAAUACCAAAGGCGAAGGCAGCUUUCUAGAACUUGUCUGACACUGAGGCGCGAAAGCGUGGGUAGCAAACAGG